AUUCCAUGAUGAGGACACUUCCGAAGAAGAUCCUUGAAUCUCUCUCAUGAAUCCGAUACCUCUUCAUCUUCUUCUUGGCGAAACGUCAUAAUUUCAUUUCUAAUUUU